AUUAACCAAACAUAAUCUAACGAGGGUUCCCUUUAUAUUCGUCCUCCUCUCCUCCUCGGCCUUCUCCUUCUCGAUUCCACGGCGGUCGCAGCCCUCCGAAAUCCAGGACUGUUUCCGAUGGCCCCUCUCUCGUUUCACCCUCACGCCGCAGAGUACUCCGAUCUCCGACCUCGGCCCGAACAGCGUCUCCCUUUUUUCAAUCAACGCCGUGGCGGCCCAAGAAAGUCGUCUGGUCACGAAAUCGAUCUCCAUCAUCUCGUUCCUUGCUGAUUUGAUGGUGAAAUGGCGUCGAGACUCCCAAAUUUGCCACGUUUCCACGCUGCAGGAUUCCAAUCAGGGUGGAGACUCUUGAGGAGGCCCACAACACCAGAUAUAUGAGGACAUGACAUGGAAGUGCCAGAAUCUGAGUUGAAAGCAACACGCCGGGUAUCGAAAGGUAGACCAGUUGGUCCAACAGCUUCUGAGUAGGCAGCAAGAACACUAACACCUGGUGCAGUGAUAUCAGGCUGAAAGGUGCAGUGAUAUGAGGCAGCAAGCAAGAAGUUAAAUUGACGAAUUAGAAGAACUCUAUGAGCUACAAGAAAGAGGAAAUAAAUUGGAGGCAGCUUACCUGGUGUAGCUGAGGUAUAAGUAGAGAGAAAGGCCAUCAUUAUAAGUGAUAUGGGUUGCUGGGAGGAGGUGAGCAUCGGCGAUGAUUUCAUUUCCGGAGCUCUGAUCAUUGACAAGGACCAUCCCGCUGCCGCCGGCCAGCAGAACUGCUUCACCCUUCUCCACUCUUGCAAUAAUCCCACGGAGACAGACGACUAUCUUCCCUCUAACCUUUUCAGGGUCUAGCGAACCCAGGUAACACAACUCACUGCAGAAUUAAAGAGAAAGUGAACUUGUUCUUCUGUUUAAAUCAUCAAGGUAUAUCUGCUUGGUUGACAAGAACUCUAUAGUCCUUGUAACUGCUCCAGGUUGUAGGUUUGCCACAACCUGUUCUGGUCUUCAUUAAGAAUUUCACCUAGUCUUGUAAUAAGAGCAAGAUCGAAUUAACUGAUAAUUGCAGAAUAUACAUGACCAAUUUUA